AAUGGAAGACACCUGGGAUAACUCUCAUUAUCUUCCUCAGCUGCAAAGGGAUGGGUGAGGAAGCAGCUUGCAAGCAGUGAUUGGUGGAGAAGGGGAAGUUUGUGAGGAAAACCAGCUAUACAAAACUAAUCUCAUUUGUAGCCAGAGGUGUUUUGAGUGCCCUGAAAACCCAACAUGAUCCGUCACCUGAUCUAAAGCCCAGCGUUUCUGCCUUCAACCCUCCCCGGUUCCCUCCUGCUUGGCUUUUGCUACAGACUGAAAGAAAUGAGACACAGAUGGGUCUAUCCAUGCAAUUCAAGUCACCAACCAGUAGGUGUCAGUGUUGCUUGCUCUUCUAUAUCAA